GCAGUAUUCUGAGACAGUUGAGGAAAUAUGCUUUAGGCAGUUAAGAGAGUCUGCUAAGUUGAAAGAGUGUGUGAGUAUAUAGAGGAAUGAGAGAAUGGGGGAGGGGGCAGGCAAUGUAAAACAGAUUUAUAAAUGGGGAUAUUUCUCUUUGAUUGUAUAUUUGACCUGCCCGAUGAGGCAUGUGUGUCUUCGCCUGAUUCCCUCUUCACGGAUAUAGUAAAAUUGCCCCUGUUAGAUAGUGGAUCCAAUUCUUAAACUGACUAUGACUAGCCAGAGCUUCAGGAGAUGCCACUUUCUUCCAAGGCUUUACAAUAUGUAUCUUAAUGUAUUUAUAAUUCAGAACUUAUAAUACACUUAAUAAAGCAAUUAUUAUUUGUUGCUGUUUUCCCAAAGGAGAAAAAAAGAAUUCUCCACCCUCGGUUUAUAAGUUAUUGUUAGUAAAAAAAAAAAAUUUUUUAUUAGCUUUCACAAUAUUAUAAACCAACAAACACAUAAGACAAACAAACAUAAAUCAUAGCCUUAUUGAAAAUUACACUUAUUAACUUUGUUAGGUGACGUCCUCGCUUCCCCUUGGUUGAAUUUCAUUGCAUGUCCUUUUAACAGUUUUCCAAAUCCCAAUUCUUAUAAUAUUUAACUUAGACAGUUAAAGUCUAAUGUCUAAUGUUAUUGUUAGUAAAUAUUAAUGUGCCUUAAGAUGAAUGGCUUAAAAGCUCUAUUACUUGCUGAAUCUUUUAGUAUUUAUUGUCAGUUGGUUUACAACAAUAGGCUUUGCCUCUUCCACGAGUCUGAAGGACAAUGUCCACUUGAACCUCUCUCACACACGCAUACGCAGACAUGAAUAGGUAGCACAUGGGCAGAGGGUAAGCCCUAUAAAUGUCUGCAUGGUUUCUCACUGCCUGCUGGGGUGAAAGUGUGUGUGUGGUGGAGAGAGGAUGGCCUUGGGUCCCACAUUCUCACGACUCAUUUAUUUAUCUAUUAUGCAGAGCAUUUGUAUCCUGCUCUACAGUCAAAACCAGCUCCCCAAGCCGCUCACAUGCAAUUCACACAAGUCCCUGCACACGGGCUUACAAUCUAAAAAUGCACUCAUAGAGAAAAGAUAACCAACCAGACUAUGAAGAAAAGCAAGAGAAACAAAUCCGAGGAGGAGAAGGAAAAAGAGGAGGAGAAGGAGGAGGAAAAAGAGGAGGAGGAGGAGGAGAAGGAGGAGGCAACAAGCCUUUUUCAAACGCAGCACUUUAAAACGCGAGAUGAAUGCCCCACUCUCUGCAGCUUUUCCAAAGGCCGGGAACAUGCCGGCCCGGGGGCGAUGGACCAUAUUGCUGCCCGGCUGCCCCCCCCCGACCCC